rnacentral:rRNA from 1 species
UACGUAGGGGGCAAGCGUUAUCCGGAUUCACUGGGUGUAAAGGGAGCGUAGACGGCGACGCAAGUCUGGAGUGAAAGCCCGGGGCCCAACCCCGGGACUGCUCUGGAAACUGCGGCGCUGGAGUACGGGAGGGGCAGGCGGAAUUCCUGGUGUAGCGGUGAAAUGCGUAGAUAUCAGGAGGAACACCGGCGGCGAAGGCGGCCUGCUGGACCGUGACUGACGUUGAGGCUCGAAAGCGUGGGGAGCAAACAGG